ensembl:lncRNA
ACCAGAUGAAAUAGACAUCCUGAAGCUGAAGGUUGGAAGAGUAUGUUUAAGAUAAUUUGUCCAGUCAAACCUUUAGGGGCCAUCAACGCAAACAUCUUCGGUGAAGAGGAACUCACCACUUACCUCCCUAAAGGCGGUCCAGCUCCCUCUUCCCUCAGUUACAUAGCAGAUCACGGUUGCCAGCUGUACUUGAGCCAAGGAUGUUACAGUCAAGCCACCCAGAGGAAGGCCCAUCUUUCUGUCUGUCGCAGUUCUCAGAGAAGAGUCUGAUUGUCCCAUUUGGGUCUAGUGACCACUAUUAGUCCAAUAAACUCUGGCCAGAGUCAGAACAACAUUUAAAGAAACAAAGCAGCUUCUUUCAUCCAUGGGAAUGUAAAAAAAUGAGAAAACUGGAACACUGACAGAUCAAGUAUCUUUCUCAAGAUUGCAUAGCCAAUGAGCAGAGGAGCAAGGAUUUGAACCAGGCUGUUGGCUCCACAGCCUACGCUUGAACCUGCUCUAGGCUGUCGGAAGCAACCUAAAUAGCUAACAACUGGAGAUUUGCUAAGGUGUUGCGGGCCUCUGCUCUCGUAAUACUUCAGCUACAGAACCCACGUGUGAACGCUCCUAGCGCUCUGGAGAAGAUCAAAUGCAUGUGGAAGCUCUUUGAAAACCAUAAAGCCCUCUAAAUGAAAAGGUUGCAGCCGUGCUCCCUUGCACGUUUUUUUGCGGAGGAAGAUUAGCCCUGAACUAACAUCUGUGUGCAUCUUGCUGUACUUUAUAUGUGCGACACCUGCCACAGCAUAGGUCCACACCCAGGAUCCGAACCAGUGAACCCUGUGCCACCAAAGCAGAACGCGUGAACUUAACCACUAUGCCAUUAGGCUGGUCCACCUUGCACUUUCUUUUAUUUCAGAUGAUUUUGUACUUUCUUUGUAACUCACUCUAAAUAAUGCGUGUUGUUUUGCAUUUUUUAUAUCAGGAAGCGAAAUAUUAAAAAAUUUAUCAAAGUUGCAGGAAAAAGGGCACUCCCAUAAUAGAAAAAAAAAUGUAGCUUUAUGUCAUCAUUUUUUUAGAGAUUCUCUAGAGGUGAGCAGGGUUCCUUUAAAAAUAUGAAAUGAUAUAUUAUUUGAAAGUUGCUUGAACUACCACUGAUUGAGAUGGUAAAUUGGCACAACAGUUGUGCAAUAGCCAUUUAAAAAACAGAAAAACCUUGAACUGUGUAUAACCAUUCAAACAGAGAUAUUCACUUUUAGAAAUUUAUGCUACAGAAAUACAGAUAUGUUCACAAUUAAGCAUGAGACUGUUCAUUGUGGCAUGAGAUAUAUUAGGGGAAAAUUGGAAACAUCCUAAUGUCUAAACAUAGAUGCUAGUUUAAUAAAUUAUAAUACAUCCAAUCUAUAAAAUUCCAUUUACCAUCACAUAGAAAUCAUAUAGAAAAUAUUUAAUGAUGUGAGAAAUACAAAACAUUAAGUGGAAAAAGUAAGCUAGAAAACAGUUUGUCUAAAAUGAUCACAUACGUAAUAUGUAUACAUAUGGUCUGUCAUACAAUAAAAUGUUAACAGGUCAAUUAUGUCUCAAUAAAACUGGAAAAAUGUUAUUGGUGUCUGUUUCUGUGUGUUGGGAUUAUGAGAUUAUUUUCUUUUUUGUUUAUAUUUAUUGAUUUCUUUCAACAAGUAUGUUUUGUUUUUAAUAACUAAAAAUAUUUAUCUUUUAAAAAACCAAUAAGUUCCAUUAAUACUCUCCCACUUGUCCUUUGAAAAUUUGACAGCUUUAUAUGUUAACAAUUCUGUAAGACGUAGUUGAUUUUAAAAAUGGAAAUAGACCAGAUAGUUGUGUUAAAGCAAAGCAAGAUAGGUCUUGUAAAAUAUUAUAGUGACUUACUUUAUUAAUAGAUAAGCCAUAAAUAUCCUGAUGAAUUAUUUCCUCCUGAGAAAUAAGAAUUGCCCUGGCUCAGGGCUACAUUUUCUUGGAAUAUCAUCAAAGCCAUAAUCAAUUUGCGUAGCUGUUCUAACUUUAUAUCUUAAGGAGUAGUUUGUAACAUUCCUGCAUAGAUAAGAUAGCUCCUGGAAUCUCCCCAGUGCUCAACUAUUUCUUUGAUGACUCACUAUGGGGUUGAUUUGUUGAUAUGAAUGUUAAACUGACAUAUAUCUAUUGACUGUCUAUUAGAUAUUUAGAUAUUACUAAUCACUGAGGAUAUCAGAGAGUAUGAGGUAUGGCCUCAGACCUAAAGGAGCUACAGUGUUGUUGGGAAUUAAAUAAUAUGAAACAAACAGAAGAAUUUUUUAAAGAAUAUAGGCCAAACACUAAAUUACCUGGAGAGAUAAGACCAUGGUAUUUAUAAAAAACAAAUGAUAAAUGUAGGCUGAGAUUUUGGGAAAAAGUUCAAAGAAAAGGCAUGACUUGCUCUGACUUUAGAAAGAUGAGUGGGCUUUGGGCCUGAGAGAGGAAAGGAAAACAUUUCAGUUGAAGGGAUGCAGGUCUAAAGUCCAUAGGGCUGAAUUUGUUGGUUGUGACUACGUUUACUGCAAUUUGGUCUGAGUUAGGAAUUUGGUUAGUCCAGGACAAUAAGGAUAUGGGGCUGGAAGAUUCCUGUGUUUCUGACGACAGAAUAGCGAGGUAAGGGGGCAGGGAACAGGUAGGAUGCUUUGUGGGGGACUUUAACCUUAAAGUGAAAGCUGAGAAACCACCAAACAAAUGCAACUUGAGAGACACUUUACAAAAUACUUGACCAGCACUCAUGGAGAGUGUCAAGGUCAUGAAAGACGGAUAACUGCGGAACUGUCAUAGAUUGGAGGAGACUAAAGAGACACAACAACUAAAUGUAAUGUGGAACCCUGAAUUGGACCUUGGAAUGGAAGAAAGGACAUUAGUGGAAACUGGUGAAAUCUGAAUAAAGUCUGUAAUUUAGUUAAUGGUAUUGUACCAAUGUUAAUUUCUUACUUUUGAUCAUUGCACCAUAGUUAUAUAAGAUGCUAACCUUGGGGGAAGCUGGGUCAAGGGUAUAUGGCAACUCUUUACUAUCUUUGCAAAUCUGUAAAUAGAAAAUUAUUUUAAAAUAAAAAGUUGAAAAACAAACAAAACAUCUGUAUACAGAG